rnacentral:rRNA from 1 species
UACGUAGGGGGCAAGCGUUGUCCGGAAUCAUUGGGCGUAAAGAGCGUGUAGGCGGCCCGAUAAGUCCGCCGUGAAAGUCCAGGGCUCAACCCUGGAAUGCCGGUGGAAACUGUCGGACUGGAGUCCGGAAGAGGCGAGUGGAAUUCCUGGUGUAGCGGUGAAAUGCGCAGAUAUCAGGAGGAACACCAAUGGCGAAGGCAGCUCGCUGGGACGGUACUGACGCUGAGACGCGAAAGCGUGGGGAGCAAACAGG